GACGAACGCUGGCGGCGUGCCUAAUACAUGCGAGUAGAACGCUGAAGCGAGGAGCUUGCUCUUCUUGGAUGAGUUGCGAACGGGUGAGUAACGCGUAGGUAACCUGCCUUGUAGCGGGGGAUAACUAUUGGAAACGAUAGCUAAUACCGCAUAACAAUGGAUGACACAUGUCAUUUAUUUGAAAGGGGCAAUUGCUCCACUACAAGAUGGACCUGCGUUGUAUUAGCUAGUAGGUGAGGUAACGGCUCACCUAGGCGACGAUACAUAGCCGACCUGAGAGGGUGAUCGGCCACACUGGGACUGAGACACGGCCCAGACUCCGUCGGGAGGCAGCAGUAGGGAAUCUUCGGCAAUGGGGGCAACCCUGACCGAGCAACGCCGCGUGAGUGAAGAAGGUUUUCGGAUCGUAAAGCUCUGUUGUAAGUCAAGAACGAGUGUGAGAGUGGAAAGUUCACACUGUGACGGUAGCUUACCAGAAAGGGACGGCUAACUACGUG
rnacentral:rRNA from 1 species